UGGCGGCGUGCUUACACAUGCAAGUCGAGCGCGGACAACUGGCGCACGGCGCACGGGUGCGUAACACGUGGGCACCUGCCCUACAGAGGGGGAUACCCCCGCGAAAGCGGGACUAAUACCGCAUGACAUUCACUCAAAGCCGCAAGGACCUGUUGGAGGGGCCCGCGCCCGAUUAGCUUGUUGGUGAGGUAACGGCUCACCAAGGCUUUGAUCGGUAGCCGGUCUGAGAGGAUGGCCGGCCACACUGGAACUGAGACACGGUCCAGACUCCUACGGGAGGCAGCAGUGGGGAAUCUUGCGCAAUGGGCGAAAGCCUGACGCAGCGACGCCGCGUGGGGGAUGAAGCUUCUCGGAGUGUAAUCCCCUUUCGAUCCGGACGAAACUGACGGUACGGGUAUAAGAAGCCCCGGCUAACUACGUGCCAGCAGCCGCGGUAAGACGUAGGGGGCCAGCGUUGCUCGGAAUUACUGGGCGUAAAGGGUUCGUAGGCGGUGUGGCAAGUCGGUAGUGAAAUCUCCAGGCUUAACUCGGAGGCUGCUGCCGAAACUGCCGUGCUAUAGUGCGGAAGAGGCUAGUGGAAUUACAGGUGUAGGGUGAAAUGCGUAAAUAUCUGUAGGAACACCCGUGGCGAAGGCGGCUCGCUGGACCGCAACUGACGCUGAGGAACGAAUGCUAGGGGAGCAAACAGGAUUAGAUACCCUGGUAGUCCUAGCCCUAAACGAUCAGGACUUGGGGUGCAUCCCGUUGGGGGUGCGCCCGGAGUAACGCGUU
rnacentral:rRNA from 1 species